rnacentral:rRNA from 1 species
UGAACGCUGGCGGCGUGCCUAACACAUGCAAGUCGAACGAAGCUUGACGGAUGAUUUCUUCGGAAUGAAACCUGAUAUGACUUAGUGGCGGACGGGUGAGUAACACGUGAGCAACCUGCCUUUCAGAGGGGGAUAACGGCUGGAAACGGUCGCUAAUACCGCAUGAUGUGUUCGGAUGGCAUCAUCUGAACAUCAAAGAUUUAUCGCUGAAAGAUGGGCUCGCGUCUGAUUAGAUAGUUGGUGGGGUAACGGCCUACCAAGUCGACGAUCAGUAGCCGGACUGAGAGGUUGAACGGCCACAUUGGGACUGAGAUACGGCCCAGACUCCUACGGGAGGCAGCAGUGGGGAAUAUUGCACAAUGGGGGAAACCCUGAUGCAGCAACGCCGCGUGAAGGAUGACGGUUUUUCGGAUUGUAAACUUCUUUUCUUAGUGACGAAGACAGUGACGGUAGCUAAGGAAUAAGCAUCGGCUAACUACGUG